UGCCCAGCAACUCCUAUCCCUACCUCCACGCGGUACCGGCCGGAAACUAUGAGCAACCUUAGGGAAGAUCGGGUAACCAACCCCGGUGGGAACUUUGGUCGUAGGCUGACAGGGGG
rnacentral:ribozyme from 1 species